rnacentral:rRNA from 1 species
UGGGGAAUAUUGCACAAUGGGCGCAAGCCUGAUGCAGCCAUGCCGCGUGUGUGAAGAAGGCCUUCGGGUUGUAAAGCACUUUCAGCGAGGAGGAAGGUGGUGAACUUAAUACGUUCAUCAAUUGACGUUACUCGCAGAAGAAGCACCGGCUAACUCCGUGCCAGCAGCCGCGGUAAUACGGAGGGUGCAAGCGUUAAUCGGAAUUACUGGGCGUAAAGCGCACGCAGGCGGUUUGUUAAGUCAGAUGUGAAAUCCCCGGGCUCAACCUGGGAACUGCAUUUGAAACUGGCAAGCUAGAGUCUCGUAGAGGGGGGUAGAAUUCCAGGUGUAGCGGUGAAAUGCGUAGAGAUCUGGAGGAAUACCGGUGGCGAAGGCGGCCCCCUGGANGAAGACUGACGCUCAGGUGCGAAAGCGUGGGGAGCAAACAGAUUAGAUACCCUGGUAGUCCACGCUGUAAAACGAUGUCGAUUUUGGAGGGUUGUGCCCCUUGAGGCGUGGNUUCCGGAGCUAACGNGUUAAAUCGACCGCC